rnacentral:RNase_P_RNA from 1 species
CAGGGUGCCUGGGCAAUCGCGAUAUACCUCUUCUGAUGGGUAUGUCGAGGAAAGUCCGGGCUCCACAGCACAGCAUGGUGGAUAACAUCCACUCGGGGUAACCCGCAGGCUAGUGCCACAGAAAGUAAACCGCCUCAUCAAGGUAAGGGUGAAAGGGUGGUGUAAGAGACCACCAGUGGGUGCGGUGACGUGCCCAGCUAGGUAAACCCCAUGCCGGAGCAAGGCCAAACAGAACACGCCAUGAUAGGGUAGUGCGCCCGAGCCUGAGGCGCGUGUUCGGGUAGGCUGCUUGAUGCUUAUGGCAACAUAAGCCCUAGAUAGAUGAUUGCCUCAGGUACAGAGCUUUCAUCGGUACCGAUGACAGAACCCGGCUUAUAGGGCACCCUGCUUC